rnacentral:rRNA from 1 species
AUUGAACGCUGGCGGCAUGCCUUACACAUGCAAGUCGAACGGCAGCACGGGGCAACCUGGCGGCGAGUGGCGAACGGGUGAGUAAUGCAUCGGAACGUACCUUUCAGUGGGGGAUAACGUAGCGAAAGUUACGCUAAUACCGCAUAUUCUGUGAGCAGGAAAGCAGGGGAUCGCAAGACCUUGCGCUGAUUGAGCGGCCGAUGUCAGAUUAGCUAGUUGGUGAGGUAAAGGCUCACCAAGGCGACGAUCUGUAGCGGGUCUGAGAGGAUGAUCCGCCACACUGGAACUGAGACACGGUCCAGACUCCUACGGGAGGCAGCAGUGGGGAAUUUUGGACGAUGGGGGCAACCCUGAUCCAGCCAUGCCGCGUGAGUGAAGAAGGCCUUCGGGUUGUAAAGCUCUUUCGGCCGGGAAGAAAUCGCACGGGCUAAUACCCUGUGUGGAUGACGGUACCGGAAUAAGAAGCACCGGCUAACUACGUGCCAGCCGCCGCAGUAAGAC